GAAAAUGAAUCCCCUCUAAGCUGCUAACUUUGAGUCUUGCAAUUAAUGUAACAUUUUCU
rnacentral:tRNA from 1 species